AGCAGUGUGGCUCAGUGGCAAGAGCCCGGGCUUGAGAGUCAGAGGUCAUGGGUUCGAAUCCCAGCUCUGCCA
rfam:Ornithorhynchus anatinus chromosome X1, whole genome shotgun sequence.